rfam:Schistosoma curassoni strain Dakar, Senegal genome assembly, scaffold: SCTD_contig0004761
AGCCCCCUGUAUCCUUGCUGAGAUUUCGUCACACACCAAACCACAAGGGCUGAUAAAACUCUCAAGAUAAGUGAAGCG